CGGACGGGUGAGUAACGCGUGAGAAUCUGCCUUUAGGUCCGGGACAACCACUGGAGACGGUGGCUAAUACCGGAUGUGCCGCAACGUGAAAGGGGAAACCCGCCUGAAGAUGAGCUCGCGUCUGAUUAGCUAGUUGGUGAGGUAAAGGCUCACCAAGGCGACGAUCAGUAGCUGGUCUGAGAGGAUGACCAGCCACACUGGGACUGAGACACGGCCCAGACUCCUACGGGGGGCAGCAGUGGGGAAUUUUCCGCAAUGGGCGAAAGCCUGACGGAGCAAGACCGCGUGAGGGAAGAAGGCUCUUGGGUCGUAAACCUCUUUUGUCAGGGAAGAACACAAUGACGGUACCUGACGAAUAAGCCUCGGCUAACUCCGUGCCAGCAGCCGCGGUAAUACGGAGGAGGCAAGCGUUAUCCGGAAUUAUUGGGCGUAAAGCGUCCGUAGGUGGCUAGUCAAGUCUGCGGUCAAAGACUGGGGCUUAACCCUGGAAAGGCCGUGGAAACUGACGAGCUAGAGUGCAGUAGGGGUAGAGGGAAUUCCCGGUGUAGCGGUGAAAUGCGUAGAGCUCGGGAAGAACAUCGGUGGCGAAAGCGCUCUACUGGACUGCAACUGACACUCAGGGACGAAAGCUAGGGGAGCGAAUGGGAUUAGAUACCCCAGUAGUC
rnacentral:rRNA from 1 species